CCUCGGGUGGCAGCAGUGGGGAAUAUUGGACAAUGGGCGAAAGCCUGAUCCAGCCAUGCCGCGUGUGUGAAGAAGGCCUUCGGGUUGUAAAGCACUUUCAGUGGGGAAGAAAGCCUUGGGGCUAAUACCCUCGAGGAAGGACAUCACCCACAGAAGAAGCACCGGCUAACUCCGUGCCAGCAGCCGCGGUAAUACGGAGGGUGCGAGCGUUAAUCGGAAUUACUGGGCGUAAAGCGCGCGUAGGCGGUCUGAUAAGCCGGUUGUGAAAGCCCCGGGCUCAACCUGGGAACGGCAUCCGGAACGGUCAGGCUAGAGUGCAGGAGAGGAAGGUAGAAUUCCCGGUGUAGCGGUGAAAUGCGUAGAGAUCGGGAGGAAUACCAGUGGCGAAGGCGGCCUUCUGGACUGACACUGACGCUGAGGUGCGAAAGCGUGGGUAGCAAACAGGAUUAGAUACCCUUGUAGUC
rnacentral:rRNA from 1 species